GGGGGUGUAACUCAAUGGUAGAGUGUCUGUUCUGCAAACAGGAUGUUGCUGGUUCGAUUCUAGUCAUCUCCA
rnacentral:tRNA from 1 species